CCGGGCCGGCUCGAACGCAGCCAGCAGCCCAGUCAGCGCGUGAAUGCAGCAAGCGCGGGGCCGGCCCGCUGUUUAAAGCCUCGGCGGGGCCGCGGCGGUAGCUGCUCCGGCUGUAGCACGCGGGAGGCGGGGCCGCCAGCUCCUCCGCCCCUCAGCCCGCCCACCCGCGAUUUUGCAGUGGCGCGCGGCGGACGGUCCCUCAGUUCCUGGGAGCCCCGGAGCUUCCACGCAGUCCCACGCGAAAGCAGUCCGUGCGCGGCUCGCUCCAACCAGUCGGCCGGAACGCGAGCAGUGCGAUCAAAGAGCAGGCGCGGCUGCGCGCUGCCUCACCGCCGUCCCAGGAAAGAUCUCCGCGCCGUUACCAACCCCUUCCGUCGGCCUCCUCCCAACCUCCGCCUCCUUCCCCCGCCCCGCUUUGCGGGAAAAGGAGCGGGUCCCCGGCUCCCUCCUUCUCUAUCCGUUCCCGGGAUCGCGCGCAAAUGAACCAGCAGUCCAGGCCACGGGGAUGCGGACAGCUCCCAGCCGGUCAGCAAAACUAAAUUUCAAAAAGAAGGAGUGUCAAAGGCGUGUCAAGAGAUAUGGCCCUAAGUGCAACGUGGAAUCCUACACUGGGUCUCGAGACAGAAAGAGGACAUUAAUGAAAAACUGUGGAAUUUGUAUGGGGCCCAGUUCCACUUUCACUUGAUUCCAGGAAUUGCAAUCAAGGUGUAGAAGCAGAGAGAUGUACUGUGCUUUAUAUCCAUAUGCAUUUGGUGUGUGGAGUUGUGAAGAAAGCAACAGCAGACAUGGAGUCCAAGGAUUUGGAUCAAGUAUUGGAUGUAUUGUUUACUGUCUAGCUGUGUGACCUUGUACAAGCCACAUGCAGUAUCUGAACCUCAGUUUCUUCACCCAUGAAAUGAGGAUUGUUUACAUUAAAUGUAAUAAGCUGGAUCUUUAAAAUGUCUGCAGGCAGUUCAUGACCACGAACAUGAAAGGCCUGUAUUUAAAGGGAGUGAUUGGGAUCACUGCCUGGGGCAGCCGAGAAGAUACACCUUAUUCCUUGAGAUGCUGGGAAGACUAUUCAGCUUUUGGGAGCCACUUGAAUUUCCUGCUGUUCGCCCUUGACUUCAGAAAGCUGAUUAUCUGAACCUUGGAUGACUCUUCAACUCUCCUGGUGUUGUAUUAGUACCUGUGAAUUGUGAAGUCUAGGCUGGGAAACUGUUAACCAAUCAAAUCAUUUGUUCUGUGCACUCCAAUGAACUCUUGAAGCUUAUAAAGCAGAUUAGGUACACCUACAGUUUUCAGGAAAAAAAAGAGGAAAAAGCAACAGCUCCUAUUUUCAAAAGAUCCCUAGAAUGGCUCCAUGGGUGGCCUGCAGAAUAAGAUUCAAACAUCAUGCUCAGCCUUUAAGAUCCUUCUUCAUUUGGUUUGCAUCUAUCUUUCCAGAGGUGCUGACUUUUCCUCCUUUUAUAGAUUUGCUGCAGUUUUGACUCAUUUGUCUUUCAAAAGCUGCUAAAGACUUCUACAGCCACAUAAAAAUAGCCUUUGACACAUGGCUUAAGGAAACACCUGAUUAAGUGUCACAGCAAGACAACUUGAACUAUGUUCAACUUGGAAAAUCAGGGCUGUCUAUAUUCAUCACUAAACAGUAUUGAUAGGAAAACCUAAUGGCCAAGGGAACAUUUCUUCUUAAAAACACUAACUGUUUUCAGUAAAGUCAAUUGGCCAUUGUGGUGUGCUACUGUGGUGUUGCAAAGUGUUUAUGGGUCCAAGCACAUCCACCUUAGUUUUUAAAAAGUUGUAUUCUGGACAUUUGCACAGUGGUGUUUAUGGAGACAGUAUGCAUUAUUUGCAGUUGGUGGAGGUGGCCUAAGGGUACAUCGACUAAGGAACAGAAUGGUGAACUGUUGUGUGUGCAUGCAAUGGAAUAUUGAGCAACUGCAAGGAGUGAAGCUGGGAGAAACGCAACGAGGUCAGUGGAUCCUGUAGACAGCAUUUUGAGUGAACUAUGCCAGAAACAACUAUGCCUCACCAAUAUGGACAUGGACUAACUACAGUGUUUAAACUUAGAAUUGAACCUUAGAGCGCAGCUUA